rnacentral:rRNA from 1 species
AGUUUCUUGUAGGUUAAUAAGAAAUGUUUUCUGCUCGGUGAUUUAUAAACAGCCGCGGUAAUUUGACCGUGCAAAGGUAGCAUAAUCAUUUGCUUUAUAAUUGAGGGCUUGUAUGAAUGGGAGUACGAAAAUUUUGCUGUCUUUUUUUAAUAUAAAUAAUUUGUUUUUAUUGUGAAGAAACAAUAAUUUGAAAAUGGGACAAGAAGACCCUUUUGAGCUUUAUUUUUUAGGUUUUUUUUAUUAUUUAAGUAAUUUGGUUGGGGCAACCAAAGAAGAUAGAUUUUCUUUUUUAAUUAUGAUCUUUUAGUAUUGAUUUUUAGAACAAGUUACCAAAGGGAUAACAGCAUAAUUUUUUUUGUGAGUUCUUAUUAAAAUUGAAGAUUGUGACCUCGAUGUUGACUUAUAUUAAUUGUUUGGUGUAGGAGCUUAACUAAUUGGUCUGUUCGACCUUUAAAAAUUU